GAUGCUGAGAUACCAAAUUUGUGUUCAUUAUUUCUGUUGGUCAGUUUUUCCUGUGCAGUCAAAAGUGCUUACUUAGGAGUAUAUGGGUCUGGUGCUUUAGGACCCUGCAAGUGAGGUUCCUUUAGCAAGGUGCUUGAUUUACCCACUUAAGUAUGUGCCUCUUUUGAAGUGCAAUGUGCAAGAGGCGAUGCCUUGUUAAAAUUUCUCUUCUUUGAGGAGUGUAUUAUGGUUUUGUUUCCUUUGUUUAAAAAGGUUAUAGCAUUUAACAUUUAACAUUUCUAGCCUGUGUUCUCUCUGGUUUGGUGGCUUGGCUGCAAGGAUUUCCAGCUUUUUCUCCUAACAAAAGCAGCAGGGUAUUGAAGAAACUAGUAAAACACAAGAAUUGACUAUGAUUUAGAUGAACGGUCAACAUAGGUAAGCUAGAAGAUAUUGACUCUGAUUUAGAAGAGAUGAAGAAGAGAUUAAGGUCAUCAAUAUGGUGGUGAUGAUGAAAAUGUUGAGGAGGACUUGAAUGAAAAUUCUGGAAAUGUAUGAUAUUCAGCUUGUCCAUAGCUAUGGAUUUAGUUGGUGCCUUGAUUUUUUUGGGCAUAUUAUUUUAUUAAUUAUUUUAGAGAAUCUGGGUCUUUAUUCAGGGGAGCACUCUUUGUGCUUUAGGAGAUGGAAGAGGCAUAUCUCCUUAAUUGUGCCUUAAGCUUUUGCAAAAGCCCUGGACUG
rnacentral:misc_RNA from 1 species